rnacentral:lncRNA from 1 species
GAGGAGUGUGUAUAUCAAAGUUUCUAGAAGCUUUAAAAUCCUACUGUAGGGAAAGAGAAGGACAGGUAAUAAGAAAGGGGAGAGGCAUAGGUUUGUGCAAAUUUUUUUCUCUACCUCAGAUCCCAAAAAGGUGACAAAAAGCUGAGGGUUCUUUGAUUUCAAUUCAUUGUCUAUUCUGGCAAGCAAAAGUUCAUUUACCUUAGAAAAAUCCUGUUAUUUCAAAGCAAGAGUGAAAAAUAUAUGUAUAAAGAGAAAAGUGAUAGGAAAUUAAGUAGAAAACUCCUUAAAUAUUUUUCUUUUCAAAAUUUGAGUUGUGGAGGGUAGUAAGUACAGGAAAAUUAAGGUAAAUAUAGUUUUAAAAAUAGCUAAUUUAAUAUAUUUGCCAAAUUUAUUCUAAAUCAUCAAGAGGAAGAGUGAGAAGAAGAGAAGUUAAAGGCAUGAAUAAGUCAAAUGGACUAAAGUAGCAGCAUGGUAUGGUGGAAAGGGCAUGGAACUUGGAGCUGGAAGACCUGAUUUCUAGUCCUGCCUCUGCCACUAAUUCCAUAUGGCUUGCCUUAGGUAUUUGUCAAAGAAGCAUACAAAUACCUUAUAACUCCAGACUGUGAAGGUAAAUACUUUCUGAAAAUGUGAUAUGUACCCCUCAAUACUUUGUAAUCAACAGUAUCGUACUAAGCUCAUUACCAUAUUUUACUCAUGAGAAACAUGAAGGUUUAACAAACUUAAAGCUUAGGUUCUAAAGAUCACCACAUGAAAAAUUUUCUCCUGCGUCCUUUUCUAACUUCAUGCACUCACUUUUUUUUUUAUUUCCAACUUAUAAGUUCAGGGGUACAUGUGCAGGAUGUACAGGUUUGUUACAUAGGUAAACGUGUGCCACGGUGGUUUGCUGCACAGAUCAUCCCAUCACCCAGGUAUGAAGCCCAGCAUCACUAAUUAUUCUAUCUGAUCCUCUCUCUCCUCCCACUCCCCACCCUCUGACAGGCCCCAGUGUGUAUUCUUCCCCCCAUGUGUCCAUGUGUUCUCAUCAUUUAGCUCCCACUGAUAAGUGAGAACACGUGGUACUUGGUUUUCUGUUCCUGCAUUAGUUUGCUAAGCACAACGGCCCCCAGCUCCAUCCAUGUCCCUGCAAAGGACAUGAUCUCGUUCCUUUUUAUGGCUGCAUAGUAUUCCAUAGUGUAUAUGUACCACAUUUUCUUUAUCCAGUCUAUGGUUGAGGAGCAUUUAGGUUGAUUCCAUGUCUUUGCUAUUGUGAAUAGUGCUACAAUGGACAUAUGCAUGCAUGUGUCUUUAUAGUAGAACGAUUUAUAUUGCUUCACAUAUAUAACGAAUAUAUACAGUGGUUUGGGUACAUCCCCAGUAAUGGGAUUGCUGGGCAGAAUGGUAUUUCUGUCCUUAGGUCUUUGAGGAAUCGCCACACUGUUUUCCAUAAUGGUUGAGCUAAUUUACACUCCUACCAACAGUGUAAAAGUGUUUGUUUUUCUCCACAACCUUGCCAGCAUCUGUUAUUUUUGACGUUUUAAUAAUAGCCAUUCUGACUGGCAUGAGAUGGUAUCUCACUAUGGUUUUGAUUUGUAUUCCUCUAAUGAUCAGUGAUGUUGAGCUUUUGUUCAUAUGUUUUUGGCCACAUAUAUGUCUUCUUUUGAGAAGUGGCUGUUCAUGUCCUUUGCCCACUUUUUAAUGGAGUUUUUUUUUUGUAAAUUUGUUUAAGUUCCUUACAGAUGCUGGAUAUUAGGCAUUUGUCAGAUGCAUAGAUUGCAAAUAUUUUCUCCCAU